ACAAGACAUGAUUAGUCUAUAGAACAUUUUGGAAAUGCAUAAUAUUAUUGAGCUACAUAAAUAUUUUUGUUAAUUCAUGGAACACCAUGUAGGAUUUUUUUUAUUACUAUUAUUAUCACUUUAAAUUUUAGAACCUGUACUAUUACAAUUUAUGUUAGGGAACUGAUAUUUUCGCAUGAUACGUGAAUAGUGGGCAGGUCCCACCUCCAUCUCUGGAAAAAAGAAAAAGAAAAAUGCACUACUAUUUCCUAGUUGAGAAUUGGUCUCCAUUGGCAUUUCUUGAUCAUUUCUUCAGUUCCCCCAUUGCUUUCAUUGGCAACAUGUUGUAAGAAUUCUUGGUGCCCAGUUGCCCACAUCUUCAAGUCAUAACAUAACAUAUAGAAGAAGUUAUUAUAUGCAUAAUUAAUGCAUAAUAAUUAAAGGAAAUUGAUAUUUUUACAUGAUUUCUCACAUAAAAUAUGAAUGGAUCCUACUUCUAUGUGAGAGAAACUCGUAUAAAAAUAUCAUUAUUUUAAAAAUAUAAAAAUAUCAGCUUUCAAACUCGUUGGACUAAAUAGUAAAUAGCACUCACAUAUUGUUGGGACGUUCCUAUUAAGUGCAACACGUCCAAAUCAGGUAAAUGGACAUCAGCAAGGAUAAUAUCAACUUUGUCCCCUGAUUACAAAUUCAAUAAAAUAAUAAAUAAAUAAUAACGCAAUUAUCGAAGGACAUAAAUAUAAAUAUAUAUAUAUAUAUAUAUAUAUAUAUAUAACUAUUUAAUAAAAUAAAUAUAUACCUGAACUAAUAUUAUGUCAAUGAAAUGUCAUGAACAACGAUCAGAUCUGCAUGCGAAAAUUAUACGUGCAUAAAAAUUAAUAUUUAACAGUACACCAUAAUUAAUUACUGCAAAAAUGAAUUAUUUUGCCUAAAAAAGGCUAGCUUAUAAUAAUAAAAAAAUAACUAAAAACAUACACAACUUUUGUGGAUGAAACAAUUUAAUUUUGGUAAACACAAUUUAUGAAUUUAAAGAAAAAUGAACACAUGCAUGAUGCAUCAUCAUACAAGUAAAACCAUGUAAAUAUGUAUACUUACUAGAUCUACUGAAAUCAAAGAAGAAAUUCAUUGAUAAUAAUUCCUUCUUCCUUCCUUGAUCUAUUUAAUUAAUUUGAUACAUGCAUCUUAAAUAAGAUUAUUAGAUCUUGCAAAUAAAUAAUUUGUAAAUAUAAUAAAAAUAAUUAAAAAAGAUGUAUGGUACUAUAAAAUGAUGACUAUGGAUAUGAUGAUAUAUAAUAUAUGUACAAAAAAAAAAUAUUUGUGGUGUAGUGAAUCAAGAUGAAGGGUUUUUGGUGAAGUACUAAGAAAGUAGGAGAGGCAGAAUGAAAACUAAAAUCCCUAAAUCUUCAAUUUAUAGUGUACAAGAUAAAUGAUCCAAGGGUGUAGAACAAAACCCUAGAUCUUUUGGUGUAAAAAUACAGAUAAUCAGAAGAUCAACGGCUAGGACCAUAGGUU
rnacentral:lncRNA from 1 species